rnacentral:rRNA from 1 species
UACGUAGGGUGCAAGCGUUGUUCGGAAUCAUUGGGCGUAAAGCGCGUGUAGGCUGUUAUUUAAGUCAGAUGUGAAAUCCCUGGGCUCAACCGAGGAAGUGCAUCUGAAACUAUUUAGCUUGAGGACGGCAGAGGGAGGUGGAAUUCCAGGUGUAGAGGUGAAAUUCGUAGAUAUCUGGAGGAACACCGGUGGCGAAGGCGGCCUCCUGGACCGUUCCUGACGCUGAGACGCGAAAGCGUGGGGAGCAAACAGG